rnacentral:rRNA from 1 species
AUGAACGCUAGCGAUAGGCUUAACACAUGCAAGUCGAGGGGCAGCACAAGGUAGCUUGCUAUCUGGGUGGCGACCGGCGCACGGGUGCGUAACGCGUAUGCAACUUGCCCUAUACAGGAGGAUAACCCGUCGAAAGACGGACUAAUACUGCGUAUGCUCACAACUUGGCAUCAAGUGGUGAGGAAAGAAAUUCGGUAUAGGAUAGGCAUGCGUCCCAUUAGCUUGUUGGUGAGGUAACGGCUCACCAAGGCAACGAUGGGUAGGGGAACUGAGAGGUUUAUCCCCCACACGGGUACUGAGACACGGACCAGACUCCUACGGGAGGCAGCAGUGAGGAAUAUUGGUCAAUGGGCGCGAGCCUGAACCAGCCAAGUCGCGUGAAGGAGGACUGUCUUAUGGAUUGUAAACUUCUUUUAUACGGGAAUAACAAGAGUCACGUGUGACUCCCUGCAUGUACCGUAUGAAUAAGCAUCGGCUAACUCCGUG